AUGAACGCUGGCGGCGUGCCUAAUACAUGCAAGUCGAGCGAACAGACGAGGAGCUCGCUCCUCUGACGUUAGCGGCGGACGGGUGAGUAACACGUGGAUAACCUACCUAUAAGACUGGGAUAACUUCGGGAAACCGGAGCUAAUACCGGAUAAUAUAUUGAACCGCAUGGUUCAAUAGUGAAAGACGGUUUUGCUGUCACUUAUAGAUGGAUCCGCGCCGCAUUAGCUAGUUGGUAAGGUAACGGCUUACCAAGGCAACGAUGCGUAGCCGACCUGAGAGGGUGAUCGGCCACACUGGAACUGAGACACGGUCCAGACUCCUACGGGAGGCAGCAGUAGGGAAUCUUCCGCAAUGGGCGAAAGCUUGACGGAGCAACGCCGCGUGAGUGAUGAAGGUCUUCGGAUCGUAAAACUCUGUUAUUAGGGAAGAACAAAUGUGUAAGUAACUAUGCACGUCUUGACGGUACCUAAUCAGAAAGCCACGGCUAACUACGUG
rnacentral:rRNA from 1 species